CAAACCCCCACUGUGUACUGGACGAAGGACACGCGAUCUUUUGUCUUGUGGAGUUUUAUAUAACACAGUAAGUAAGAGAAGCAACAUGCAUGACGGGGAUGAUAAAAUAAUCAAUAAGAAGUUUGAAUCUUUAAAAAUAAAUGAAUGCUGAACCCCAAAGAAGCCAACCAAAGAUGAGAUGUUUUCUGUACCAAACCACAAAUCACCAUUUGCUGGUAAUCAUAACAGAUAGCCAAAAGUCAUGUACCACACUUUGUCAACAAUAAAUGUUGUUUCUGCAAUCUGGAUAAAGAAUAAUAUAUUACUGCCUCUUGGAGAACAGCCGACCGUACUUCAGACAGAGACAAAGACGUGAGGACAUCCAGUGCUUUUAAGUCAUGUACCACACUUUGUCAACAAUGCAUGUUGUUCCUGCAAUCUGGAUGAAGAAUAAUAUAUUACUGCCUCUUGGGAAAACAGCAGACUGUACUCCAGACAGAGACAAAGACCUGAAGACAUCCAUUGCUUUUAAGUCCUAUACCAGACUAUGUUGUUCCAGCUGUCUGGGUAAUGACUGAUACAUUACUACCUCUUGGAGAACAGCAAACCAUUCUCCAGACAGAGACAAAGACAUGGACAUCAAAACAGAAAAUAAAGUACUUGAUCUUGGAUUGUUUGGGGUGAGCGCUGGCAAAUAAUGAAGCAGGAAAUGAAAAUGGCUGUAAGAAGUCCUUUGUGUGCACAGACAUGACUGGAGAUUAAAGUUACUAAAUGUUGCUUUUUUUCUAGCUGGUGACAUAACAUUGUAUUAUUUUCAAAUGUAUUUAUCUAACACACAUUUACACAUCUGUAAACAUUCAUUUUAUAUUGCAUGUUUUUUAUAUUUAACCAAUUGUUGUAUAUUGCUUUCUGUUAUUACAUCUGUUUUUUAUUGCAUGUUUAUUGUUUAAAACAAUUAAGUUAAUGUUUCUCUGUUAGCUUUUAUGUUACUUUGGCUAUUUCUUUGCUUUUA